rnacentral:rRNA from 1 species
GACGUAGGGCGCGAGCGUUGUCCGGAUUUAUUGGGCGUAAAGAGCUCGUAGGCGGCUUGUCGCGUCGAAUGUGAAAUCCCGUGGCUCAACUGCGGGUCUGCAUUCGAUACGGGCAGGCUAGAGUUCGGUAGGGGAGACUGGAAUUCCUGGUGUAGCGGUGAAAUGCGCAGAUAUCAGGAGGAACACCGGUGGCGAAGGCGGGUCUCUGGACAGUUCCUGACGGCUGAGG